rnacentral:rRNA from 1 species
AGAGUUUGAUCCUGGCUCAGGAUGAACGCUAGCGGCAGGCUUAACACAUGCAAGUCGAGGGGCAGCGUGAGGGUUAGCAAUAACCCUUGACGGCGACCGGCGCAAGGGUGCGUAACGCGUGAGCAACUUGCCCUUAUCAGGGGGAUAACCGGUGGAAACGCCGACUAAUACCCCAUGGCAUUGGUUGGAGGCAUCUCCUUCCAAUUAAAGAAUUUCGGAUAAGGAUAGGCUCGCGUGACAUUAGCUAGACGGCGGGGUAACGGCCCACCGUGGCUACGAUGUCUAGGGGUUCUGAGAGGAAGGUCCCCCACACUGGAACUGAGACACGGUCCAGACUCCUACGGGAGGCAGCAGUGAGGAAUAUUGGUCAAUGGUCUGACGACUGAACCAGCCAUGCCGCGUGAAGGUCACGGCCCUAUGGGUCUUAAACUUCUUUUGCGAGGGAGCAAUAAGGCGCACGUGUGCGUCGAUGAGAGUACCUCGCGAAUAAGCAUCGGCUAACUCCGUGCCAGCCAGCCGCGGU